UUAAAAGCGUUGAGAAGGAGAAGUACGUAAAAUAUGUUUCAAAGAGAGGGUCAUCAUCGGCUGAAAGUGACCUAAACCUCUAUUUUACAGAAAUGCACCUUUGAGCACUUUGCCGAAGCAUUAGUAGGCAGGUCGGGUAGUUCUCGUUAUUGGACUUAUGAGAGGAAGGCAUAUACUGCUUUCAAUCAGAGUGGAACCGCGCAAUUUGUGUAUAGGCGUCUCUGUC
rnacentral:ncRNA from 1 species